rnacentral:lncRNA from 1 species
CCCACAGCAUCAUCACCAUGGUCUCCCUAUCAAUGACGGGUAACUUUCCUUUUGCCCAAGUGCUUCCGUGUGUUCCACUUCCAAGAGCUUUCCUUCAGUCCCUGCCCAGCACACAUCCCCUCCAGCCUCCUCCCCAUCUUCCUGCUUCCCCAGAUGGCUAUGGAUUCUGGUCUUCAUCUGCUACAUUUCAACACAUCCCAGCCGGCUUCCACCCCCACCAUGCACAGUCUUAACAACUACCAUCAACAACAUCUACUAAUGUCUUACAAGACUGUAGAUACACAAGCCCUGCUGACAUCUGCAUGGAUUAUCCAGAGGUCGGAAACAUGCUUUGCGACUGUCAACUGCAUGAUAAAACUGUCAGAAAUCUAUGGAGGCAGCCGCGUACAUUUUGAAGCCAGAGUCAAAGUUCUAUUUAUUCUUCGACAGUGUAAGCGCUGCGCAUUUUACAGGAGUACGUAAGAUUUGUGAAUCUAAAUUCUUGGGAACACUCAGUUCUCUGGCCCAAUUUGUUCUGAAGCAGGUGAAGAUUCAAGGACAUACUGAACUUACCUGUGAAGCCCAAUUUUACCACUGCUUAGCUGUGUAACUUCAGACAAGUUCCAUAACCUCUCUGUGCUGCUUUCUGCAUCUAUAAAAAGUAGCAAACCUACAUGAUUUCUGGAG